AUGAACGCUAGCUACAGGCUUAACACAUGCAAGUCGCAGGGUAACAUGAGGAAAGCUUGCUUUCCUUGAUGACGACUGGCGCACGGGUGAGUAACGCGUAUCCAACCUUCCCAUAACUACGGGAUAACCCGUUGAAAGACGGCCUAAUACCGUAUGAUAUCGUUUGCUGACAUCAAAUAACGAUUAAAGGUUUAGCGGUUAUGGAUGGGGAUGCGUCUGAUUAGCUUGUUGGCGGGGUAACGGCCCACCAAGGCGACGAUCAGUAGGGG
rnacentral:rRNA from 1 species